GAAUCAACGCUGGCGGCGCGCCUAACACAUGCAAGUCGAACGAGAAAGCGGGGGCAACCUCGUGAGUAAAGUGGCGUACGGGUGAGUAACACGUGGGUAAUCUACCCUGAGGUGUGGAAUAACCCUGGGAAACUGGGGAUAAUACCGCAUAAUCCCGAGAGGGCAAAGGAGCAAUCCGCCUUAGGAGGAGCCCGCGGCCGAUUAGCUAGUUGGUGGGGUAAGAGCUCACCAAGGCAAAGAUCGGUAGCCGGCCUGAGAGGGCACACGGCCACACUGGCACUGAAACACGGGCCAGACUCCUACGGGAGGCAGCAGUGGGGAAUCUUGCACAAUGGGGGAAACCCUGAUGCAGCGACGCCGCGUGAGCGAUGAAGCCCUUCGGGGCGUAAAGCUCUUUCGGCAGGGACGAAACAUGACGGUACCUGCAGAAGCAGCUGCGGCUAACUACGUGCCAGCAGCCGCGGUAAUACGUAGGCAGCAAGCGUUGUUCGGAGUUACUGGGCGUAAAGGGUGCGUAGGCGGUCCCUUAAGUUCGGUGUGAAAUCUCCCGGCUCAACUGGGAGGGUGCGCCGGAAACUAAGGGACUCGAGUGCGGGAGGGGAGAGCGGAAUUCCUGGUGUAGCGGUGAAAUGCGUAGAUAUCAGGAGGAACACCGGUGGUGCAGACGGCUCUCUGGACCGUAACUGACGCUGAGGCACGAAAGCGUGGGUAGCAAACAGGAUUAGAUACCCUGGUAGUCCACGCCCUAAACGAUGCAUGCUUGGUGCUGGUGAUUCAGUUCAUCGGUGCCGGAGCUAACGCGUUAAGCAUGCCGCCUGGGGAGUACAGUCGCAAGGCUGAAACUCAAAGGAAUUGACGGGGGCCCGCACAAGUGGUGGAGCAUGUGGUUUAAUUCGACACUAAGCGAAACACCUCACCAAGGUUUGAAAUCUAGCUGCAUAGCCCAGAAAUGGGAAGUCCUUCGAGGGUGCUAGACCAGGUGCUGCAUGGUCGUCGUCAGCUCGUGUCGUAAGAUGUCCCGUUAAGUCGGGAAACGAGCGCAACCCCUGUGAACUGUUAUACAUGUCAGUUCAGACUGCCCAGCCGAAUGGUCAUCUCGCAAAAGCGAGGUGGGUAUCCGGCUGGGAGGAAGGAGGGGAUGACGUCAGAUCAGCAUGGCCCUUUGACACCUUGGGCGACACACGUGCUACAAUGGCCGAUUAAUAAAGGGUCGCCAACCCGCGAGGGGGAGCCAAUCCCAAAAACUCGGCCCCAGUUCGGAUUGCAGGCUGCAACUCGCCUGCAUGAAGUUGGAAUCACUAGUAAUCGUAGAUCAGACACGCUACGGUGAAUGCGUUCUCGGAUCU
rnacentral:rRNA from 1 species